GAGGCGUGCAGAGUGGAGAUCAACACCUGGGUCGAGCAGCAGACAGAAAACAAGAUUAAAGAUCUUCUGAAGCCAGGAACAGUCAGCGCUAUGACAAGAUUGGCUCUGGUUAAUGCAAUCUACUUCAAGGGAAACUGGAUGAACCGUUUUGAUGAGGCAAACACCAAAGAGAUGCCCUUUAAAGUCAACCAGAAUGAGGCCAAGCCGGUCCAGAUGAUGUACCAGAUGAAGAAGCUGCCCUUCAAACU